rnacentral:rRNA from 1 species
AGUGAACGCUGGCGGCAGGCCUAACACAUGCAAGUCGAACGGCAGCACGGUACUUGCUUCUUCUUUCGGGGGCCGACGGGUGGGUGAGGCCUGGAAAUCUCCGAAUUUGCUGUGUCUAACGUGCUGACACAGGCGCUCAUACGCUAUACCUGCUUACGACCUACGUGUGAAAGCUUCGGAUCUUACGCUCUUAGACGAUUCUAUGUGGCAAGGUCGGAUUAGCUAGUUGGCGGGGUAAAGGCCCACCAAGGCGACGAUCCGUAGCUGGUCUGAGAGGAUGAUCAGUCACACUGGAACUGAGACACGGUCCAGACUCCUACGGGAGGCAGCAGUGGGGAAUAUUGGACAAUGGGCGCAAGCCUGAUCCAGCCAUGCCGCGUGUGUGAAGAAGGUCUUCGGAUUGUAAAGCACUUUUAGUUGGAAAGAAAAGCAGUAGGUUAAUACCCUGCUGUUCUGACGUUACCAAAAGAAUAAGCACCGGCUAACUUCGUG